AGUACAGAAGAUUUUAUAUCCUUUUUUUCAUAGGGGAAAGGGGAGAUGGGAAAUGUAGACAUUUAUUUUGAGAAGCAGCAAAUGAUUAUUAGGAAGAAUGAAUGGACAGAAAUUAAUUAGCAAAUAAUUUUCUUUUGAGUUAUCUUGUGAAAAAGUCCCUCCAGGCAUGGCUGCAUUUCUGUCUUUCUGAAAUAGGAUACCAGAUCUCAGUGAGGGGAGGAAUGCGAUUGUUUCUUCUACAAAGAGGCUUCUCUAGUCUGGGAAUGAAAUUUCAGAGAGUACCUCCCGCACUUGGGGAAAGGGCGGGCAACAAGUCAAGGUUAGGGGGACCUGCAUUAUGAGGCAGCUUCUAAAGCCUCUCAGUCUUUGGGGUAUCGCUUUCUGAGCGUCAAGAGUAAAACGUGAUGCAUUACUUUCCUUCCAACCUAGAUUCUAGUAGUUUAGAUCAGUAUCAUCGUUUUUACCUCAAUGUUCAGGAAACGCUGGAAAUUUCUAGCUAACAUCACAGAAAAAAAAAACCCACGAGGUUGACUUCACCUAUUCUGCCUACCCUCGGCAGGUAACUAUGUAUGAACUGACACUCCCAGGCAUAAUCAAAUUACCUCUGUCAAGUCCUCGCCCUAAGACUAUUUUUGGAAACUAGGGAUUUUCCAGAUUACUGAAAGCCUUGUCAGUGUCAAAGGCCGGGCAGGAGUUUCGCAAGCGGAGCUACGAAAGCAGCCGCCCUCACGGUCAUUCCUGUGCCUCCGCCCUACUUCCCCACACUGGCAAAAACACGCCCCCCGGGGAACUUUCAUCGGAACCGAUACAGUCCACUGUCCUGUGUUCUUCAAAUACUGUAAAGCAGGAUAAAUACUGUAAAGCAGCCCUCUCCAGUUUCCUUGAGGGUCACUUUAUAUUACACAUUCGUCCACACACGACACCAGUCACCACUUUCACCCGCCAAAGCGCGCUCAGGUCGGCCGCCACUUCCCUUGGUACAUGCGGAACACUAGCCGCGCCGAGGUUAAAGGAAGAGGCCGGAACGCAGGGUGAAGGGGCGCAGAGAUGACAGCCAACGCCGCCAUCUCUAUUUUGGGCAUAAGGGAUCUUGUAAAGCUCCAUUAUUCGUGUGGCUAAGUAUCACAAACAAGGUGGUGUCGACAGGCCUUGGCUAGAGAAGGCCUCCUUAGCCACUGAUGACCCCAAGGUCUGUCGCAGCACCAAACACUCCUCGCAGGCCCGGAUGCCGAGGGCGGAGGCGCGGCCUGAAGGGACUAGUUGGCGCGCGGCGGCCCGGCGUGGUGACGUCAGGGCGGAAGCGCACGCGGCGUGAAGCGGCCCAGAACCCGGCGGUCACGGGAAUAUCCGUCGCGCCGAGAACGCUGGUUAGUCUUGUUUCGGGUUCCGGCUGCGUUGAGCUUGCGUGCAGCUCGCUAAGACUAUGGCGUCCGGGCCUCACUCGACAGCUACUGCUGCCGCCGCCGCCUCGUCUGCCGCCCCAAGCGCGGGCGGCUCCAGCUCCGGGACGACGACCACGACGACGACCACGACGGGAGGGAUCCUGAUCGGCGAUCGCCUGUACUCGGAAGUUUCACUCACCAUCGACCACUCUCUGAUUCCGGAGGAGAGGCUCUCGCCCACCCCAUCCAUGCAGGACGGGCUUGACCUGCCCAGCGAGACAGACUUACGCAUCCUGGGCUGCGAGCUCAUCCAGGCCGCCGGCAUUCUCCUCCGGCUGCCGCAGGUGGCGAUGGCAACGGGGCAGGUGUUGUUUCAUCGUUUUUUCUACUCCAAAUCUUUCGUCAAACACAGUUUCGAGAUUGUUGCUAUGGCUUGUAUUAAUCUUGCAUCAAAAAUCGAAGAAGCACCUAGAAGAAUAAGAGAUGUGAUUAAUGUAUUCCACCACCUACGCCAGUUAAGAGGAAAAAGGACUCCAAGCCCCCUGAUCCUUGAUCAGAACUACAUUAACACCAAAAAUCAAGUUAUCAAAGCAGAGAGGAGGGUGCUAAAGGAGUUGGGAUUUUGUGUUCAUGUCAAGCAUCCUCAUAAGAUCAUUGUUAUGUAUUUACAAGUCUUAGAAUGUGAACGUAAUCAAACCCUGGUUCAAACUGCCUGGGUAGUCCAUGAUGGUAAGUCAUAGAACUCUGCCCUCUGCACUUCAGCCCAUGACCUCAGGAUGGCCUGAUUGGCUACCCUGCUCUCCAGCCAAUCCAGUGCAAGCUCUCAUCCGAGAUUCACUGAAGUGGUCCAUAUCCAUCUGGCAGCAUCUUCUAGUUCUGUCGGGGUGUCAAAAGGAUUUGUAUAUUUGCUUCUAGAAGUAACUAUUUGACAUGCCUAUGUAUUUAAUGUAUACUUGUAACUAUCAAAAUGAAUAGUUCAUUUUUGAUAGAUUUGUUGUCCAGCCAUUAUGAAUUAAAUGGUUUCUUAUUAGGAGUUUGACUAAAUUUUUAUUUUUAGUAUGUAUAGCAUGAAUUCUACCAAAGGAGACUACAAACUUGCAGCUUAAAAUGGGAACCAGUUCCCACACUGGCUUAAUUUAUAUAACUGCUUGGCUGUAUUGCGGGUAAUAUUAGAAGCAAGAAGCACUUCAUUUUUAAAAGAGAUGUUACUAUUAUAUUGCUUAAAUGCCUUAGCACUUGGACUUUUUGAGAUGCAGAUGUGUGAUUUAGAGUGCUGGCUUAUUUAAAGGUCAAGCCAAGGAGUUUGUGGAUCAGCCACAACUACUGUUUCCUAAGACUAUUGAUGUGAAGGACUUAGUGAAGUAAUUUUUAUAUUUUGGACUUCCCAGCAAGAUGUCCUUUUAAUGACUGCCAUGCUUCUUUUGGACUCAGUAAAUAUUUGUAAUGUUAGAAAAGUCUCAUUACUUUUAUAAAAUGCAUGACAUUUUAAGUAUGUGUUGCAUAAAAUGGAUUAUAGCAGUUCUCAUGGUUUAGGAUUUUUAAGAAAUAGUCCAUUUAAUUUCAGCUUAACCUUUUAAAUGACCUGUAAAAUUUCUUUAAUAGUUUAGGAAUGUUGUGGGGAGGGUUCAUUAAUAAAAGUUCAGCAAUUUUUUAACUGAAGUAGUUUAUCUCUUUUACCUAGUCACAAAAAAGGUAUGUAAACAAGGCCAUUAUAUGUGUUUAUUGCUCUUUACUUCCCUAUCUAGAUUUUCUAAAUAUCUUAAUUUUCUUAAUAUAAGUUUAACUUGUUACUUACUGAAAAUGCCUUUUUACCCCUGUUAACGGUAUUUUGAGCUUUUGAAAAGAACUUGGUUGACACUGCUUUUAUUGUGGAUAAAGGAGAGAUGGUCAGUAAUUAAUGGCUUGAAGUAUUAUUGGAGUGGUUUAUCAUUUCUGAAACUAAUCAUUUCAGAAUUGACUUUGAAAGCAUUGCUUUUUACAGAAAUAUAUUAACUUUAGGAGUAAUUUCUAGUUGGAUUGUAAUACGAAAUAAUUUAAAAGAGCUUCGCUCAUAUAUAGGAAAAUUGCAAAUGGUCCUACUAUUAAAUUCUUACUGCUUACUGAUUUUUUUGAAUUAAGAGUUGUUAUAUGCUAGAAUAUGAGGAUGUGAAUAUAAAUAAGAGAAGAAAAAAGAAUAAAGUAGAUUGAGUCUCCAAUUUUAUGUAAGCUUCAGAAGAACUGGUUUGUUUACAUACAAGCUUAUAGUUGAAAUAUUUUUCAGGAAUUACAUGAAUGACAGUCUUCGAACCAAUGUUUUUGUUCGAUUUCAACCAGAGACUAUAGCAUGUGCUUGCAUCUACCUUGCAGCUAGAGCACUUCAGAUUCCAUUGCCAACUCGUCCCCAUUGGUUUCUUCUUUUUGGUACUACGGAAGAGGAAAUCCAGGAAAUCUGCAUAGAAACGCUUAGGCUUUAUACCAGAAAAAAGCCAAACUAUGAAUUACUG